rnacentral:rRNA from 2 species
UACGAGGGGGGCGAGCGUUGUUCGGAAUUAUUGGGCGUAAAGGGUGCGUAGGCGGUUUGGUAAGUCUUAUGUGAAAUCUACAGGCUCAACUUGUAGUCUGCAUGAGAAACUGCCGGGCUUGAGUAUGGGAGAGGUGAGUGGAAUUCCUGGUGUAGCGGUGAAAUGCGUAGAUAUCAGGAGGAACACCUGUGGCGAAAGCGGCUCACUGGACCAUAACUGACGCUGAUGCACGAAAGCUAGGGGAGCAAACAGG